UGUUAAAAGUCAUACUCUCAAUUAGUUAUCAUAACGUUUUUCUAUAAGUUACUUCCAAUUAACAUAAUGAGUUAUGUAAUUUCAACUUAAUUUCCUGAGUUAUUGGCAUUUCAACUCGAGGAUGUGAGUCAGUUCAGUGAAACAUAAAUUUAAAUGUGUGAACAUAACUUGACAAUCUGAGUUUUAAAAAGGUAACCGGAUCUUAUAAAAACUGAUCACCACUGGCAAUAUUAAUGCGAGAUACAAAUAGUGCCGGAAAUUCGCUCUUUAUCUGAUAAGGGACUAAAUAUGAUGUAAGAUUUAGUCAGACUUUAUAAAGUUAUCCAUCCAAGUUAGAAUUGCAUAUUAAAUGAAGAAGAGGAACACCACCUGACCAGAUGAAGGACGUCGAAAGCAAAGUCGCGGAUGAAUACCAAUUUUUCCAAGACCUCUGUCCCAAAGGCGUUCAAAUUCGGCGGGACAUUUUUUUGAAAUGCGAAGCGAGCUGGAGUCAUAGUAAGGUGGUCCAUUAUUUAAAGUUUGGCAAAAACUGUGGAUGAAGUGGAGCUGUCAGUGGCCUGGAUCUGAGACUGCUGGAGGUCUACAAAGCAGCAACCAAAUCUGGAAAGAAGCAGCCACUCAAAGACAUUUUGGACUGCCUUGCAAAAGAUGACACGAAUGAAAGGAGAAGGGCUGCUGCUCUGCUUGGUUUGCCACGUUACAUAUCUGGGGAAGAUCCAUCAACUGUCAUCAGGAUGUGUGAUGCUCAUGCUGAUAUUCUGGAUGAUGCCAUGAAGGGGAUGCAGGUUGGUCUCCUGAUUGCCUGUGAAGGUAGGGAACUAGGGGCCAUCCCACACGAGGUCUUCGACGUGGCAGUUGUGGUGGAGGAGACCAUUGUGCUUCACAACAUUAAAGAUGUGACACUUGGCUUUGCUAUGCUUAUGGGUGUCAUCUACUGUAUCAAUCUCAAGUAUCCAAAUGACAUGAAGUAUUCGUUUGAGUUUCUUCAGAGAGUGGUGAUGAAGAUCAGACCAGACCUCAGCUCGAGUACAUGGUUUGAGAAACAAAAUCUUGAGGUACAAACUGUAACAUCUGGUAUGUUUACAGUUUUGUUUUCUUAAAUAAGAGUUCCUGUAAGAAUUUGUUCAGUUUGUUUUAUGCACUAAAUGUUAAUACUAAUGGUUAUGCACUAAAACAUUUAGCAUUGUGCUGAAUUCAUGGAAAAACCUCUCAGGGUUUUUGUGAGUUUGUUAAAACACUGAUCGUUUUGCACUUUUUGGACUGUUUUUGAGAGAGCUAGCUAGUUGUAUUGACUUUGCACUGCCACUGUUCAACGUGGUUAGAAUGUUUUUUAAAAUAAUGGUCUGAUUUAAAUGGAGGACUGAAACUCACCAAUAAAAUACACUUAAAAUGCACCAAUUAAAUAAAUAAGAAAACUUCACCUCAUAUCUUAUAAUUUACCUUGAUAUUUUUCCAGCUUAGUUCCUACAAACAAUAUUUUUGUAGCACAUAAUUUAAUAUAUAUGUGUGUUUGGCCUUUACUUGUAGAUGCAUUCAUGUCUUAAGUCUGUGUGUGUGUCCCCUUCCCUCAAGUAUUUUUAAUUGUUAUUUUUACAUAUCUCUGUCUUGUAUUAGGCCUCAUUUUGCAAAUAAGUUGUGCUGUCUUUCUUGGGUCAGCUCCUUCACUAUUGGUCAACAGACAAGAAGGAGCAGAAUCCAUGUGCAGAUCUGUUGACCAAUAGUUGAACUUACCCAAGAAGGACAGCCCCCUUUAAGAUGGUCCCCACAGCCAGCUGACUUUAGAAAAAUGUCACUGCCCACCUUAUUUGCAUAAUAAAGCAGAAAUGCAUAAGGUAAAGUAAAAACAUGAGACAUGUAAAAGCAGCUUAUGGAAAAAAAAGUUUUUGGGGGGAAAAGGAUAAAAAUAAACAUUUAAGAAUCAUAAAUGAAUCUACAAAGGGUAAAAACAAAAUUUUUACAAUAAAACAUUAGGUAAAGUUCUUAAUUGGUGCCUUUUAAAUGCAUUUAUUUGAGAUUUAUAUAAAAAAUAUAUAUUUCUGUUUGUCAAAAAAUUAAUUUCUGUUUUUGUCAGUUUUGGUCCUUCAAUAAAUGUCAACACUUCUGAUUGUCUUGAACAAAUGUUUUCUUUUAUGCUUGAUUUAAGGCUUAUCUCUUUUUUUGAUAGAGAAAGAUAAAAAUAAAUGUAUAAUAUUUGAAAU